GGUAGGAAUGACUCAUACCAACUGUGUAACUCUGAAUCUUGAUUUUCACAUCUGUAAAUAGGGGAAAUGAUAUUACUCACCUGUGUGGUACUUAAGGGAAGCAUGUAUGAAGGACCUAGGACCAUGCCUUCUGCAGAGUGAGCGAUGUCAACUCUAUUGUCACCACCAUCAUCACCACCAUUGUCAUCAUUAUGCACCCAUUGGAGCCUGCUUUCUCAGCCUGAUUUUCACCUUUGAGCAGCAAUUACUCCCUUUAUGAAAUCUUUCCCAUGUGUGCCUCUGCAUUAUCUCCCGAGCUUCUGCACUUCCUGGGAGCAAUCCAACCACACCACUCUGCUCUGUACCCUCCCUCCUGCAUGGCACCUUCUACCUGAUCCACCUCCCUCUCCCUUUCCCGUCACCUGCUGGUUACCUGGCACUCCUGCACUAGGUCCUGCCUAUGCAUCACAGAUGUCCUCAUAGUUCCUCAUGUUGACUUCUCCGACACCAGGCUCAGAGGAAAAACCCUGUGAAGGCACAGUGAUAAAGCUGUUGUCUGCAAGCCAGGAAGACAGCCCUCACCAGAUAUUUACCCUGAAGGCAUUUUGAUUUUGGACUUUCAGGCUCCAGAAAUUUACAGGAUUAACUGAAACCAAAUUUUCCUUGGAGAUACAACAGGAAGAUCUGUGGAUGCUUGGCCUACAUUACUAGAGAUCAGAUGAUGGAACGUCGGGUGCACAGUCUAAUCCUCUGUAAGCAGCAGCAGGCAAGUUGAGAGGGCCCCUCUCUUGCUCCUGACCUUCUUUCACUCUGGCUCUCCCAGCAGAGGCCUGGUGUCUUUCAAGAGGGGAGGCCACCCCAUCUGAAGGCCGUACAAUCUUUGAUGAGUAACUUCCUUCACUGUUUUUAAGUACCGCAGCCAAACAAAGAAAAUAAAACUCCAACACUC